rnacentral:rRNA from 1 species
AGCGAACGCUGGCGGCAGGCCUAACACAUGCAAGUCGAACGAACUCUUCGGAGUUAGUGGCGGACGGGUGAGUAACACGUGGGAACGUGCCUUUAGGUUCGGAAUAACUCAGGGAAACUUGUGCUAAUACCGAAUGUGCCCUUCGGGGGAAAGAUUUAUCGCCUUUAGAGCGGCCCGCGUCUGAUUAGCUAGUUGGUGAGGUAAAGGCUCACCAAGGCGACGAUCAGUAGCUGGUCUGAGAGGAUGAUCAGCCACAUUGGGGCUGAGACACGGCCCAAACUCCUACGGGAGGCAGCAGUGGGGAAUCUUGCGCAAUGGGCGAAAGCCUGACGCAGCCAUGCCGCGUGAAUGAUGAAGGUCUUAGGAUUGUAAAAUUCUUUCACCGGGGACGAUAAUGACGGUACCCGGAGAAGAAGCCCCGGCUAACUUCGUGCCAGCAGCCGCAGUAA